rnacentral:rRNA from 1 species
AGCAGCCGCGGUAAUUCCAGCUCCAAUAGCGUAUAUUAAAGUUGUUGCAGUUAAAAAGCUCGUAGUUGAAUUUCGGGAUCAAUAUGUUGGUCGUGCCUUGGUACGUACUGGCAUUAUCGAUUCCUACCUUCUGAAGAACCUCGAUGUCAUUAAUUUGGUGUCUUGGGGAAUCAGGACUGUUACUUUGGAAAAAUUAGAGUGUUUAAAGCAGGCUCGCGCUUGAAUACAUUAGCAUGGAAUAAUGAAAUAGGACGUUUGAUUCUAUUUUGUUGGUUUCUAGGAUCGACGUAAUGAUUAAUAGGGAUAGUUGGGGGCAUUAGUAUUCAAUUGUCAGAGGUGAAAUUCUUGGAUUUAUUGAAGACUAACUACUGCGAAAGCAUUUGCCAAGGAUGUUUUCAUUAAUCAAGAACGAAAGUUAGGGGAUCGAAGACGAUCAGAUACCGUCGUAGUCUUAACCAUAAACUAUGCCGACUAGGGAUCGGAUGAUGUUAAUUUUUAAUGACU